GGGAAUAUUGGGCAAUGGGCGCAAGCCUGACCCAGCAACGCCGCGUGAAGGAAGAAGGACCUCGGGUUGUAAACUUCUUUUAUCAGGGACGAAGCAAGUGACGGUACCUGAUGAAUAAGCCACGGCUAACUACGUGCCAGCACCCGCGGUAAUACGUAGGUGGCAAGCGUUAUCCGGAUUUACUGGGUGUAAAGGGCGUGUAGGCGGGAAAGCAAGUCAGAUGUGAAAACCAUGGGCUCAACCUGUGGCCUGCAUUUGAAACUGUUUUUCUUGAGUACUGGAGAGGCAGACGGAAUUCCUAGUGUAGCGGUGAAAUGCGUAGAUAUUAGGAGGAACACCAGUGGCGAAGGCGGUCUGCUGGACAGCAACUGACGCUGAGGCGCGAAAGCGUGGGGAGCAAACAGG
rnacentral:rRNA from 1 species